AUUGAACGCUGGCGGCAUGCCUUACACAUGCAAGUCGAACGGUAACAGGUCUUCGGAUGCUGACGAGUGGCGAACGGGCGAGUAAUACAUCGGAACGUGCCUAGUAGUGGGGGAUAACUACGCGAAAGAGUGGCUAAUACCGCAUGAGAUCUACGGAUGAAAGCAGGGGAUCGCAAGACCUUGUGCUACUAGAGCGGCCGAUGGCAGAUUAGGUAGUUGGUGGGAUAAAAGCUUACCAAGCCGACGAUCUGUAGCUGGUCUGAGCGGACGAUCAGCCACACUGGGACUGAGACACGGGCCAGACUCCUACGGGGGGCAGCGGUGGGGAAUUUUGGACAAUGGGCGCAAGCCUGAUCCGGCAAUGCGGCGUGCAGGAUGAAGGCCUUCGGGUUGUAAACUGCUUUUGUACGGAACGAAAAGCCCUGGGUUAAUAACCUGGGGUCAUGACGGUACCGUAAGAAUAAGCACCGGCUAACUACGUGCCAGCCGCCGCCGUAA
rnacentral:rRNA from 1 species